rnacentral:rRNA from 1 species
GACGAACCCUGGCGGCGCGCCUAACACAUGCAAGUCGAGCGAUGAACAUUGAAUGAUCCCUUCGGGGUGAUUUCGAUCGGAUUAGCGGCGAACGGGUGAGUAACGCGUGAGGAACCUGCCUCUUACAACGGGAUAGCCUCGGGAAACCGGGAUUAAUACCGUAUAAGACUCCGACAUCUCCUGAUGAUGAAGUCAAAGCGUUAGCGGUAAGAGAUGGCCUCGCGUCUGAUUAGCUUGUUGGCGGGGUAACGGUCCACCAAGGCGACGAUCAGUAACCGGCCUGAGAGGGUGAACGGUCACAUUGGAACUGAGACACGGUCCAAACUCCUACGGGAGGCAGCAGUGGGGAAUCUUGCACAAUGGGGGCAACCCUGAUGCAGCGACGCCGCGUGAGCGAUGAAGGUUUUCGAAUCGUAAAGCUCUGUCCUAUGGGAAGAUAAUGACGGUACCAUGGGAGGAAGCCCCGGCUAACUACGUGCCAGCAGCCGCCGUAA